rnacentral:rRNA from 1 species
CAGUAGCCGCGGUAAUGCGAAGGGUGCAAGCGUUAAUCGGAAUUACUGGGCGUAAAGCGUGCGUAGGCGGUUUGUUAAGUCUGUUGUGAAAUCCCCGGGCUCAACCUGGGAAUGGCAAUGGAUACUGGCAAGCUAGAGUGUGUCAGAGGAUGGUGGAAUUCCCUGUGUAGCGGUGAAAUGCGUAGAGAUCGGGAGGAACAUCAGUGGCGAAGGCGGCCAUCUGGGACAACACUGACGCUGAGGCACGAAAGCGUGGGGAGCAAACAGGAUUAGAUACCCGCGUAGUCCCUGUCUCUUAUAC